AACGUAAACUUAUAUAUAUUUCUAUCUCAAAAGCAACACAACUCAAGUACAAAGGUUCUCCUUUCUCCAUACAACCAGCCCGCCAACCGCUAGGACAAGAACCAUUACAAAAGAAAUAUCAAAACUAGACCAAACUAGUCUAUACGGAGCUCUCGUCCUUGCGCGCCUUCCCCUGUUAAGGAAAACAACUAAAGGGAUAAGCUAAAAGCUCAGUGAGGUUCUGAACACAUAAACAAACAAUAAACUCAAAGCAUAGAACACCAAUAAUUCAAGUAACAUUUACAAUAUAAAGCGGUAACAUAUUCAUUAAAGGAUACGUGCUCACAAGGAGCCAUUCAUUCAUUCGUUCAUUCAUUCAUUCUCCUUUCAUUCCUUUAUUCCUCCAAUCAUUUGAAAAUGCAUCUUUGUAAGUAAAAACCCUCGUUCAUUCAUUCGUUCAUUCAUUUCAUUCACUCCCUUCCCGGACAUUGACCAGGCUCCACCAAACUUCAAGGUAAUACUCGAGUAUACCAAACGUUCACCCAAGUCACCAAAUCGCCAGACCGAGUUCGCUUCUGGCUCGAGUCGAUCGGUAACAAGGGGCAAGGCCCAGUUCAGCCAGAAGGCUUACAUUCAUGCACAAGUAACACUUCAAUCGUUCCAUCAUUGAAAACUUCACAAUCAUUUAGGCCGAGUGCGAUGAAGUACACACUCGCCUAAAAACUUGUUUUAGCAAUCAUUGAAAGCAUUUAACAUGUUAUCAAUUAUUCAGACAAGCCAUAUAAUCAAGAAAUAUAACAAACAAGGAACACUCACCUAGUUAUGCAAAAUAACGUCCAAAAUAUCCUACCGGGUAUUACCCUCAGUUACCAAUGAAACUUAAAAUUAAACAAGAGAAACUAUUACAGUUUAUCUAGCAAAACAAUUAAGGGAAAUUGAAGGAACCUGACUAAUUACGAAUACAACAUAUAAAGAUGACUUUCAAGUGAAAAGAGAGCAUUUGGAUUCCGUGGACGGGAAUAAUUAGGGUUUCAUAAACCAAACGAGAAACUAAACUCAAAAGAGUUAUAAAAGUUCCAACGGAAAACACUUGGACCAAAUACAAGUCGGAAUCCAACUAGAUAGGCUAAGAAAUAUUGUUUUCAGAAUCGCUUAUGUGGUUCAAAAUCAACUCAUAUUUGAGUAGAUAUUAGUUUUCAAAUAUCUCAAUGAAAAUCAUGUAAAAAGGAAGACACUAAAAGCCUUACUUUGAAAGUAGUUUCCCGUAACCAAGAAAACCCCAAUUCAUACCUCUUUAUUUUGGUAAACAGUAAGUAAACGUUGGAAGUGUCAAACUGGAGAGGUAUUAUAUUUUAGAAUGGUAAAAUGGUCAUGAUAUUCAUUAAGCAGAAAUAUAGGAGUUCAAAUAGAAAAUAGCUUCUCGAACACCCUUCGAGAGCACAAAUGUAGUUUUCAAAGAAGUACAUUCAAUUUGACACAAAAAUUACAUUUUCACAUUCACUGGAACUUACUCACAAUUCACGAAAGUAAACGGACGGCAUUUCCCCUUAAAUUCUUUAUUUCACCUUACAAUCAAAAUACCCAACCUUACAAGAAUUAACCACAAUCACAAAUUCGGUUUAUAAACAAUAAAACACAUCCAAUUGGGUCACAAUAUCCCUCAAUUAAAGCCAAUUAGAAGUUCAAAAGCCAACUAUUAGAAAACCCCCAAUUUAAACCCUAGAAACCGGAAUUUAUCCCAACAAGCGUAAAUUUUCCGCAAACGAUUGUAAUUAACGAAUAAAGUUGCAAUUAACACCAUUUAGAGCUAUCAAAUCAAAGCCAAUCCAUGACUAUUAUAUAAAAUCGGAAAAAUCCCCAAUAAAUCAGAAAAUGGCCCAACUUGACCUAAAACCAUGAAAUCAUCCACAAUAUAACAAUCUUAACCACUAGAAACGACCAUGAUAUCAUUAUUAAGAUCAAGGAGAAAGUUCCUUAGCAUCUCACCUUAAUCCCAAGAAAGAUAGCACCUUAAAGCUUUUCCCUUCAAAAUCACUCCACCAAGAGUUUUAAUCCCUCUUAACUAACACUUGUACGG
rnacentral:lncRNA from 1 species